GUCCAAAUGGUUAAAGUAUUGGAAAACGACAGGGGUGAAUGGAGUUUGCAAUCGCCAGUUCUAGACUCUGGAUAGAACGCAGAGUAAAUGUGUCUGACUGUGAGCACCUCCUAUUGUCCCAUGGGGAGUGGGUGAGAUAUAUGAGUGUCCCUUGCAUAAGGUUUGUGACACAGCAGCUCACGAUUAAAGUAUCUCUGUCAAAUGAGGCGUCAGUCACUAACUACUCAGACCUCAUUGUGGAGCCCUGGUAGCCACCACAUUGUGAAAG